rnacentral:rRNA from 1 species
UACAGAGGGGGCAAGCGUUAUUCGGAAUUAUUGGGCGUAAAGGGCGCGUAGGCGGCCAUUCAAGUGACGGGUGAAAGCCCUCGGCUUAACCGAGGAACUGCCUGUCAGACUGGAUGGCUUGAGAUCGGGAGAGGGAUGCGGAAUUCCAGGUGUAGCGGUGAAAUGCGUAGAUAUCUGGAGGAACACCGGUGGCGAAGGCGGCAUCCUGGACCGACACUGACGCUGAGGAGCGAAAGCCAGGGGAGCAAACGGG